UGCAUCUGAGGCCAGUGAGGAUGAGAACCUCCGGGGGCAGGAGGUUCGACUCGAGCGAAGCGAGAGAACGUUGCGUCAGCAACGGCCCGCAGGGCGAGCCACGAA
rnacentral:sRNA from 1 species